rnacentral:lncRNA from 1 species
UGCGUCUGUUUCAUCUUGUAUUUGUGGCUUAUUCUGUGACUAUAUUGACGAAAGAUAUUUAUGCUCGCAAAGGCAAAGCAUGUAAAAAUGGAAACAAACGAACUUUAUCAUGGCGAUUAAAACUUUUAAGAAAAGUUUCAAAGCAAUUGAACCCAAGAAUAAAACUUUUAAGUUUAAAAGGCAGAAUUAAUAGUGACUUGGAAAAAGACAAAGCACAUGGAUGGAUAAAAGAAUCAGAAAGUAAACAACGACACGUCCCUAGAAUUGGUAAAGUUUAUUUAUUUACAAAUCUUAAUUUAAAUUUGACCGUUUUAAGUCCAUCUCGAUUAAUAAAUCAAUUUGUGAUGCUAUCGAAACAUUUUAACAAGAUCUUCACAGUGAUAAUUUGAAAUAAUUUGAUAUUUUUGGCUUUAAAACAAAUAUAAUUUAAGAGAAAUAAUUUCGUUUCGGUUACAAUCCGUCAGGAUUUAAGGAUGGUCAAAUCAUGAAAUGUGUUAUAGUGCUUUAUAUAGAAAAACUUUGCAACAACUGCAAUAAUAAUAUCGACAUGAAUACGUUGGCCUAAAUAAAUCAUGUUGCUUUGGGUAUCAUAUUCUUUUUUUCUAAGAAGUAAAGCAAUAAAUUUAUAUAUAUGCCCUUCUUUAUUUAACAUUCCGAUAGAUGAAACGUUCUGAAUCUUAAUCACAUCGCAAUCAGAAUGAUGAAUUUUGAACCAAACAUUGAUUUGUAGGGUUUUUACGAUACCUCGUCACACUACUACUCUGAAAAGUUACGGAUUAUUUACCUAUCAUACAAUAGGGACAAUAUUGAAAUGUUUAUAAUAGUGUUGAGGAAUCUCAACUGUCAUUCAAAGCUUUAAACUUUGAUUGUAGAGCUAUCUGAUUGUGUUAUAUGAUAUAUGUGUUCAACAAUCAGAUAUGGCAGCAAUAUAGAAGAUAAAAACGUUGAUAAAAUUGAAUAACAGUGUGACAUUUAAAUGUUAAAUGCUGUCAUUUGUUAUCGAAUUCCUAAAAUCUAGGCAGUAGAAAGAGUAAAAAACUUACCACAAAUCAUACAAAUUAAUAUUUAAUAAGGUGCAUUGUAAUUUGAAUCCUCAUAUGCGUGGAAUUUUAAUGAAUAGCGAUAUUUUUUUUUGUAAACUUGAUGUUAUAGAAGAUAAAGUAACAGAUAAAAUUGAUUGACAAGUUAUAUUCAUAUAUCAUGUCCUUUUGUUAAUUGUUGGGGUGUAGAGAACUUUUACCAUUUUCUAAUUUGUUUUAAUCUUUGUGUGUGUGUGUGUGUGUGUGUGAGAGAGAGAGAGAGAGAAGAGAGAGAGAGAUUAACAAUAUUUACACAACAUCACAAGCAGUCUGCUUCCAACAUAGCAGCAGAUUAUUUUUUUCACAUUCAUUAUUUUGUCAAUGAAUAUAAAUACCUUUAAGUGGGCUGACUGAUUAAAUGGUCAAGUUAUAAAUCAUAAAUCACGAUUAAUAAUUCAUAUUUCAGAUGAAAAGGUGAACUAUGCAAUUCAGUAAUCUAUUGUUUGAUCAAACUCAAUAAUUAAAAUUGAGUAUGUACAUUAUAAGCUAUUGAAAUUACCUUAACAUGAAAAAAUUGCUUUAGGUGGUAUCUGACUGAUCUAAUGGUUAGUAUAUUUAUAUAUCACCAUUCAAUAAAUCAGACGAAACCUUGCCUAUAUAAUUAAACAAACUAUUGUUAAAAAAAAUAAAAAAUAGUUAUUUGAAUUUUAAGCUGCUGGAAGUAAGCUCUGUUCUUAUCCUAGUAUAAAAGGACUAUAACAAAAAUGAAAUGAUAAAUAGUUCAUUUCUGGGCAUGUUCAGCAUGAACGAGGUGAGACAGACAGUGAAUUUAAAAAGACAGAUCUUGUUUGACUACGGUAUGUCCAACAACAAUUUUUCAGAUACCUUAAAAACAAAAUUAAAAAAUCUUACACUCGUCACAUUUAACGUUAAAUUUCAAAAGCUGUCUGGCUUGAUUUCAAUCCCGACAAAAUGUAUGAAAUGGUAUGUAUGUAUGUACAUACAAUAUUUGGUACCAUUAAAACGUUUUAUCCGCUGCAAAUGUUUGCACCUGUCCUAAGUCAGGAAUCUGAUGUACAGUAGUUGUCGUUUGUUUAUGUAAUUUAUACGUGUUUCUCGUUUCUGUUUGUUUUUUUUUUAUAGUUUAAACCGUUGGUUUUCCCGUUUGAAGGCUCCGUGUUAAAGGCCGUACAUUGACCUAUAAUAGUUUACUUUUAUAAAUUGUUAUUUGGAUGGAGAGUUGUCUCAUUGGCACUCACACCACAUCUUCCUAUAUAUAUCUACGAACAAAAUUAUAUUACCUCAUAUCUAUAAAAAGGCAACAGUAGUAUACCGCUGUUUAAAAUUCAUAAAUCGAUUAAGAAAAAAAAAAACAAAUCCGGGUUACAAACUGAGGGAAACACAUCAAAUAUAAAAGGGGAACUACGACACAACAGAAACACAACAUUAAAGUGUAAGACACACAGAAACGAACUAUAAUAUAACAAUGGCAAUUUUUCUGACUUGGUACAGGACAUUUUAAGAAAAAAAAAUGGUGGAUUGAACCUGGUUUUGUGGCUUGCCAAACCUCCUGCUUUUAUGGUAAUGUUAAAUAUAACAUUAAAAUGACAUUAUUAUAUGACAGGACAACAAUAGAGAUAAAUGAUAUAAGAUAUGAAGACAAAAUGCAAUAUGGAGUAAGAAUAAAGUUAGUAUUUUUAUAGCAGCCCUUGACGUCAUCAAGUUUUUCAAUGGAUUUUACCGAAGUCUACCAAGUGCUAGGAAAGCACAUUGAUAUUUGUAAAAUGUCAAGAUUUCAAUGAAUAUAUAACAUAGAAAAUCUUCUCAGCCUUGGUUUUUAUGGAAUUGUCUAUUGCGAUUAUCAAUGCUGUUUCAGACUGAAUGGUGUAAACACGAUGAACAUUGCACCAAAUAAGCCAGAUGCAAUAAAUUUAAACAUUCAGAGUAUAUAUACUAACUUUAUUCUUAAUCCAUAUUGAAUUUUGUCUUCAUAUCUUACAUUCAUGUUGUAAGAUAUUUUUGUUCAUACAUACAUACAUGUAAAUAUUUUACGGGAUUAAAAUCAAGCCAGACAGCUUUUGAAAUUUAAUAACGUUAACUAAACGAUUUACAAUAAAAAAAACUUAAAGUUAUUAUGCUACUUGUUAUCUUUUAACAAUUUGUUGGGGGAGAAUGAAAUGUUUUUCUCAUUUUUAAUGUCGAUUUGGGUUUAUAUUGUAUAGGCAAUAUUUAUUUUAGCUAUUAUUUUGACAAACAUUGAUAUAUUUUUGUUUUUUGUAGAAGCUGGUUUACACAAUGGAAAUUUUAACUUAAAAAUGUCAUUAUCUUUAAAAGAAUUAUAUUGAAUCAGAUGACCUCUUCAUUUUGGAAAGAUAAAAUACUACACAAUGUCAUUGCGGCUAAACCCAAAAAUUAUUCCCGGAUCAACUGUCAAAUGUAAACAAAUCUCAGAUAUCAAUAGAAUAAAUUAACAAAGUUGAGUAAAAAAAGUCAAAGCACAAAACCUUAUCAAAAGGGCAGUGUUAUGGUAUGAAGUCUUUCUUUUCUUAGAUGUUUUUUUUCGUAGAUACACUGUAAAUUUAAAACUACCAUUAAAUCAUUUUUGAGUCUUUUAGAUGUGGAAAAACGUAGUAAGAUAUCAAGUGGGCAAUACAAUAAUCAUAUGACAUACACACACGUGGUCAAUAUUAAUAGAGAUAAAAUAGACUCCACAGAAGGCUAAAGAUUAAACAACAUGACCCAACCAGCCGAUUAAAACAAACAGCGGUAAAAAUGGUCACAUAUUUCAAGUUGGUGCAUAUAUGUCAUCUUCAUAUCAAGGAACCUUUGAUAGAUUGAUUAAUUUUUGUUUGCUUAACGUCCAGUAGAAAAUAUAAAUUGCUCAUUGAGGGCGAGAACACUAACAAUUAACUCAAAAGUUCUGGUACGAUGAUUGGCUAUGAUGAAGGGCGACAAAUUAGAACUGACACUAUAAAGACAGAGUGCGUAUUACGCAUAGUGUCAGUUCUAAUUUGACUAAUUUGUAAAAUGAAAUCAUAUCUUCCAUACGUGUAACUUUUAUUCAAAAUUGAUCGCUUUUUUCCAAUCAAUACUCAUUUUUGCGCCUGUCCCAAGUCGGGAGCCUCUGGCCUUUGUUAUUCUUGUAUUAUUUUAAUUUUAGUUUCUUGUUUACAAUUUGGAAAUUAGUAUGGCGUUCAUUAUCACUGAACUAGUAUAUAUUUGUUUAGGGGCCAGCUGAGGGACGCCUCCGGGUGCGGGAAUUUCUCGCUACAUUGAAGACCUGUUGGUGACCUUCUGCUGUUGUUUUUUCUAUGGUCGGGUUGUUGUCUCUUUGACACAUUCCCCAUUUCCAUUCUCAAUUUUAUCAGUUUCUGUGAGUAUUUGAUUCCGUUAUGUUCAUUUUUAUAUGAAAGAGAAGACUUGAACUACGUCUGUUUGUUGUUGUUUCGGACAGUAAAGGUAUAAUCUCAACAUUUUAUUAGAACAGUUUAGAAAACUACAACGAGUACUUAAACAAUUUCUGAAAAAAAAAGAAGUUAGAAAUAUAUCUAUGAAUCACAGACAUAUGCAUAAAUGUCUUAGUCUUCGAUAUAAAACUUUCUGUUAAAGUUGAGGAUGCAUUGAAUUUUAUAUUUUGUUUUACGAACAUAAUUCUUCGAAUUUAAGAAAAAAGACUUUUAUAUUGAAUGGAUUAUAGUACAAAAAUCUAUAAUCACGCAAAACUCAAAUUGUAUGCGUGUUAACAUUCUUUUAGUGUGAUGUCGUAUGUCGAAGUAAUAGACAUUCCGGAAAGGAAGUUGUACUACUUAGUCCGUUAGUGAUAUUACUUUAUGACAAAUCUUUAUAAACUGUAUAGUUUUGAAUGUCAGAGAUAAAACAUGUCUGGUUCAUGACCAUAAAAUCAUUUAUAGAAACCCGUAUUUGUAAAAUGUAUUUCUGUUCAUUUUCUCAAACAAAUAUAUUAAUCUAUAAAUGAAUAGUAAGCGCUAAUGUUUAGUCCUCCAGAAUUUCUGUAGGAUACGUGCUUGCUUAUUAAAUUAAAAAUUAUGGCGUUGUCGAUAUAAAUAUUACUUGUAUAUUUAUGCCAUUUGAGUAACAUAUGCUUGUAAGACAAUAAUAAUAGAUCGUUUAUAUAUAUUACGUGCUUUGUAUUUGGUUACUGCGUUCGUUUGAAGGAUACAGUCGUGUUUAAUAAAGAACUGAUAAACUAAUAUUAAUAUUUUUAUUAAAAAACAGGACAUUUAUUUGAUAAAAUUCAUGCAUUUGCAUUACGUACGAUGUCUUAUAGAUGUGUUCAUUAUUUGUGUGUGUAAAACUCCUUAAAAUUUCUAUUGUUGAAUAAAUUAAGAAAAAUUGGGUUAGCGGCUAACAUUAUACAUUGUAUCACAUGAAUUGUACAAAGUUAUUAAAGGUACCAGGCUUAUAAUUUAAUACGCCAGACGCGCGUUUCGUCUAGAUAAGACUCACCAGUGACGCUCAGAUCAAAAUAGUAUAAAGCCACACAAUAACAAAGUUGAAGAGCAUGGAGGACCCAAAAUUUCAAAAAAGUUGGGUCUAUUACAGCUAAGGUAAUCCAUUCUUGGGAUAAGAAAAUCCUUAAUUUUUCGAAAACUUCAAAGUUUUGUAAGCAGGCAAUUUAUAAAAAUGACAAAAUAAUUGAUAUACAUGUCAACACCGAAGUACUGACUACUGGUCUGGUGAUAACCUCGGGGACGAACAAUUAUCUGGCCUCCUUUACAUUUCUAGGAAUAUGAUUAGUUAAAAGCGUCAUCGUGGAGACCGUGUAUAUUUGUCAAAUUGAUAUUAGGUUAGUAGGGAGGCGGGGCUCAUUUCAUACACGGUUAGUAGUGGUGUUACGUCCCUUUUAUAUUCCAUAUUAGGUAAAAGGGAGGCGGGGCUUAUUUCAUACACGUUUGGUAGUGGUGUUACUUCCCUUUAUAAAAAAAAAAACGAUACUGAGAAAAAAAAAUCAGACGAAGAAAUUGAUGAUUAAGAUGGAAAUAAAUUCAUAAAACGCAUUUAAACCUAACAAGUUGUUAUUGUUGGCAUCUGUUUUGUAGGAUCAAUGAAAGUAGCUGGUUUCUAAAUGCUAACAGUAUCUAAGACUUGCUGAUUUGAAUAGGUCAUUAGUCUAAAUUUCACAUGUUAAGAUAGUCGGUAAGAUAAAUUCGUUACAUAGUGUGCUAGUGACGUAAUACGGUAUAUAUGGGGUCAUAAGCACACUAUGUAACUAAUAGUAUUCUGCAUUUGUACUUCUGAAACUUAUGCUCUCAUAACAUUGAAUUAACGUUAAAAGCUCAUGUACAAUGAAAGUAUCAUAAUUUGAAAUUAUUGUUCGAAAAUUGUAUUUCCAGUUACUACUUUUUGGUUUUUGGUUUUAAAACUGAGACUUAUUGUUUACUUAAUGCAAUAUUUAUAACUCGGCUUGCUUGAGAUAUAAAAUAUAUACAUACAAGUGCCAGCUUAAGCUAGUUAUACACCCAGUUUUAACUCAUCUUUUUUCUGCUCAAAUUGCUUGUACUAUGUCAGGAGUAUGACAGUUUCUUUUUCACUCGUUCAGUAUGUUAUUGUUAGUGAUUGAUUUUGUCAGUUGUUACGGACUUCCCUUUCUGAAUUGACCUUGCAGUUCUAUAUGUUUAUUCUAUAUAUCUAUUGUGUACAUUCAUAGAUAAGUCAUUAUAUGUUUUGAUUAUUGAUGAUAAUCUCUUGUAUAAGAUGGACACAAUGAUUACAAUAAAUAUAAACGGAUAUACUAAGUUUUAUACUGGUUUUCUCAACAUAAGUUAAAACUUUUCUACUCUGUACACUAGUAUUCCACAUUCCAAACUAAAAGACAAAUUGAAAGAGUUGGUAUUGCUUUGCUUUGUAAAAAAGAAUGGCCAACGUAGAUACAAGUAUCUUGUCUUAGGGAGGGAUAAAUCCUACUUUGUAAAGGAUCACUCUGAUUCGAACAAAAAAUUCUCUGAAACUGAUAUUAUCAAGAUGCUUGAUUUCUUGAUUGACAACAUAUUUGUUACGUUCGGAGGACGUGUUUUUCAACAGACUGUCGGCAUUCCAAUGGGAACAAACUGUGCCCCUCUACUUGCCGACUUGUUUCUUUAUUAUUAUGUGGCUGACUUCAUGCAUUUCCCAACUUAUUCUGUAUUUAAGAGCUUGCAGCUCCUAAUCUGACUUGUGAAAAGUCUCCAGUGUCUGAUCAGAAAGUUGAUGUACCAAGUGUAUGUCAAAAAACGUCUUGUUCUUUUUCUUAAAAUGUUCAUCUGAAGGUACCACGACCUUGUUGAUAAAUUUUCCAUAUUAUAAAUAAUACACGGUGGUCUUGUAGUAUAGAUAUUGGGUACUGACAUUGUGUAUCAUCUUAAUAACGUUUUUUAGUUUUAUUUGUCUUUAUGGAUAUUACUUUGACUGUUAAGUCUGUUCGAUACACAUGACGUGGCUCUGUACAUAUACAUCCCGUCAUUGUGUUAUUGUUCUAUGAUAAUUUUUGUAUUCUUGUCUUUCAUUUUUUUCUCAUGUGCUUUGUUUGUAUGUCUUUUAGUAUUUCUAUGACACAUAUCACGUGACUCUGUACUUAUACAUCCCGUCAUUGUGUCAUGGUGCUAUUGUAAAUAUUUGUAUUCUUGUCUUUCAUUUUUGCUAAAUGUGCUUUGUCUAUAUACCUUUUGGAGUUUCUUUGUUACAUAUUUGUUUGUUUAAUAGGUAUUAAGAUUUAAACACAAUGUUGACUGCUAUAAAAUGAAAGAAUAGUAUCAUUAUUCGACAGUAAACAUGACUCGCGUAAAUAAAGCAUCAUAGUGGAAUUUAGUUCAAUUUGAAGAAACUGAAUUACAAAACGUAUUCUACGUUAUACAACUUUAAUAAUUGUGUUGAAAUGAAUAUUUUUUUCUGCAACAACAUCUUACCUGUUAGUUUUUAAGCACCUGUACGAUCUGUUCGUGAACUGUCCUAAAUAUUCACCUAUUUCGGUAUAUAUUUCACAGCUGAAUAGCUUUAGGCGCGAUAAAACCCCGUUCGCAUCUCUUACUUUGUUUUAUUAGUAUUAUGUAUUUCUUAACAUAUACAUUUUAACUAAUUUUCCUCAUUUUCUUCAAAAAUAAUAAUAAAAAAAAAAAAAUCGUCUGUUUACUUAUCAUUCUACAUCAGAAAUUUCUGGCAUAUACAGUGAAAAUGAUAUUUUAGGAUCCGCACUGCACUUUACAUACACUGAUACUAUAGAAAAGAGAAGUUUGGCUAGUUAUAAAACAAGGUUAAAUCAACCAAUUUCUCACAUUAGAAAAUGUCUGUUCCAAGUCAGGAAUAUAACAGUUGUUAUCUAUUCGUUUAAUGUAUUUGAGCUUUUAAUUUUGCCAUUCUAUUAGGGACUUUCGGUUUUGAAUUUUCCUUGAAGUUCAGUUUUUUUGUGAUUUAAUUUUUUACAAUGUUAAGGUUUAUACAACUUAUUCAGGACAUUAUCCCACAUAACAACAAAAGUACAAGUGACAUUUAAAGGGAUAAGAUAGUAAAAUGAUUCACUGAAAUCAAUGAUAAUAAUAAAAAUAAUGUAGAAAAAAUACAAUAUUAAAAAUCGGAUUAUUGCAAUUUGUAAGGAUAUGGCACCAGGUCGUUAAUUUUCAUAAAUACAUUAUGAAGUAUUCAAAUUUUAGAUACAAUCAUGUCAUGCAUUUAUUCUCUGCAAACAAUAGAAUAUCAGUUUGCAAUGAAUUGUAAAUAAUAGAGACAUUUCUGCCACGAAUGAUGUCACUUAUGUAAACUAUUUUUUUUAUUAAUUAAACACAUUUGUUAAUACAAAUCUUGAUUAAAAAAAAUCAUUUGCUUACAAAAUGUAUAUUUGUUCAUGCUACUUUCUAAUAGGUCAUAAGUUUGAAAUGUCGAGAAAUUCUAAAAUAUUCUUAUAGCGGAUCAAACAGAACUUUCCUAGAUGGUGCUUUAAAAGUACCAAGCAACAAUGCUUUAAAUAGUAUAUAGAGGUAACCUGCUGAAAAGCAAAAUGUCUACCCCUAUCCAGAAUUUAAUUACUUCAAUUUGAUUAAGCUUUUUAAAGUGGAUUGACCGAGAUGGAAGGAAUAUCCACUUUACAAAAGCUUAUCAAAUUUGAUUAUCAGUCUCAAUAUCAGAUUUUCCAAAAUACAAAUUGGUGGUUGGUAUUUCCUUUUUAGAUGCAUGCCGAGUCUUUUGUAGUGGAAUAUGAUUUAACGAUAUUUCUCAUCUAUUUUUCAAAUAAUAUAUUGAAGUUCCUGAUAAUUUACAGCAGAUUCCAACGAGUAUGAAGCUACAGGUAGAUUUUUUGGUUAGCUUCCUUGCUAGCUCAACCAUGAAAUGAUUAUUACCUUAAAAUUGGGAGGAGCAUAGCACUAAUUCGGCAUCCAAUGAAAACACUCAUAUCAAUGGCCUGUUUAUAAUAAUAAUGUAUGUUUCAUACAAACAGGUUUACCUAAACAACUUUGCAAAUUAUAUUUCAUUUCUUAUAGUCUUUGAUUGAAUUAAAAAAUUCUCUUUACAAUAAUUAUAGAAGCGGAGUUACGGUGUAUGUUUUGUUUGAGGAUGAUAAUAUUUAGUGUUGAUUCAAUGCUAAACAAAUAGAAAUUUUAUAGAAAAUCCACAUCAUUUCCCCUUGUACUCUCAUAGUUGGCAAUUUGGUACUUGAUAGACGGAGAAUUAUUUCAUGCAGUGCUAGCAAUGAUUUCCUAAAAAACAAGUUUAGAAAUUUAAAUAUUGGUUUAAACAAAUAUAUAUAAAUAUGGACCAAUUCAUGACACCUUCUAGGGUGGGCUCGACUUUCGGGACUUAGCAAGAUUUUUUUUUAAUUUAAAGGUUGUAACAGGACUUUUUGUAAACUUCAAACGCUACCACAUCAUAGAAAAUCAAGAGAGUAACCUAUAUUUAAAAAUUUAUAACAAAAAUAUCUGUAGAUUUUCUACAAAAAUCUUUUUUUUUUUUGCCACACAAUCCCAUUUAACUUUAAGAAUGCAAUGAAACUAUAAAUAAUAAUGCUUGUUUGAAGUUUCCCCUUUGUAUAUGUACAAAAUGGCCCAUCUCUAUUAUUCAUUAUCUUUGCUGUUUUUAUACUAUUGCAGUUUGAAAAAUUCGUAAUUCAAAGGCAACAGAAGGAUAUUUACGCCGCGUGAUUGUACUAUUGUAAAGUAUAUACCAUAACUGUAUUUAUAAAUGAACUGAAUAAUUGAUUGAAAUAAAAUUGGCUAUUCAAACACACCUAAAACAUGCUUGUGAAUCAAUAAAUUUUAAAUUUAGAUUGAAAACUUAUUUUUAAACUGACUUGUAAAACUAGUUUUACAAUGUUUAUAUUGUGUCACUAGUUCUGAUUGGUUCUCUGUUUAACUAUUGACUCCACCCACAGGCUUGUGUACCUUACCUAAUAAUGAUUUUAUGGUUGAGCUAAAAAAGAAGCUAGCCAAAGAAUCUACAUAUAGCUUCAUACUCGUUGGAAUCUGCUGUAAGCAUGUGUCUUUUAUCUUAUCUUUGUACACCUUCAUACCCCUCCCCUAGUAACUUUGGAUAAGGUGAAAAGUGAAAUUGAGGCGUUAUUUAUUUGAUGAAUUGCUUUGUUCCGGCGUUCACAUCAGUUGUUUAAUGGCGGUUGGCAUUGCUCAAUCUUAUGGAUGUUUCCAUGUAUUGUUAUCCUAGACUGUUUUUGUUUGUUGCCUGGUUUUUAUAUUGCCAUGGUAGCGUCUGUAUUUCUUUGAUCAACGAUUAACACUUUUUAUGUUUUCUUCUUUUCUAAAAUGGUACCACCCUUUACUUAUAAGGCAGAGGAUACAUACAGACACAACCAGUCGAACAACAGUGGUGUCGACCCAGUCGUACGAUACAAGUGUUUGCAUAUUUGUGGGUAUGUUGGAGUUUACAAAACUCAAACUGAUAAAUAUUAUAAAUUGAAGAGUUUAGAUUUUUUGAAGAACAAGAAUCCACAUGUUAAUACAUUUUCAAAUAUUCUUACCUGACAAUUCUUUUAAAAAGGCUUGUAACAAUUUAAGAAUAUGACAGUUGGUUUCCAUUCGUUCCGUUUUUCGAAAAAAGUUUAACUUAUGCUUUUUGUCAAAUAUUACAGAAUUUUGAAAAAAAGUAAGAUCACAAAAAUACUGAACUUAGAGAAAAAACAAUUCGGAAAGUCCAUAAUCACAUGGCAAAAUUAAAUAAUAAAACGCAUCAAAAACGGAUGGACAAGAACUGUCAUAUUCCUGACUUCGUACAGGCAUUUUCAAAUGUAGAAAAUGGUGCAUUAAACCUGGUUUUAUAGCUAGCUAAACCCUCUCACUUGUAUGACAGUCACAUCAAAUUCCGUUAUAUUUACAUUGAUGCGUACCUGGGAGUUUGGUAUUUACGUUAAACAAUUUUAACAUAUUAUUCAUUAUGAACCCGAUUUUAGUCGUCCAUCGUCUGGGAAGUUCACAGUUAUAUAUCAUUGAUAUAGCAACAUAAAGGUCCAACCAGUGAGGCGGUAACUGAUAACGUAUUCAAGCAAAUGAAAUACUCUUCUUGGAUUUAUAGCGCCAGUUUUCUUUUUCUGUGUAGCUGCGCAGGAAUUAUAGAUACCCAGCCCCGUCCAGCGACAAUGGAGACUUUUGAUUAAAUACCAUGUGUAAGAUGGUGCUACGCUCUCAGGCAGAUAGAGAUAAUCCUUGCUAGAACUCUUCGAUAUAUCAGUGGUCAUCUGAUGCAAAACAAAGACAUGUAUGGCCUUAUCAAACACACCGUUUCUUCUCGAUGGAUGUUCAGACUCGGCCCGGUCGAGAAUCACUUCGCAGAAUCUACAUUGUAUAUAUGAUAACCAAUGAAAAGUUAAUGCUAAACAUAACUAGAUUUGUAAUUGCUAGCAAUAACUGAUGGCACCCUUCCCCUAUUGCCAGGUGAGUGGCAGCCAUUUUGAAAAUUCAAAAGUCACAGAGCGUAUCUACAGAUGUCUAGUAACAUUUUUGUAAAGUUUCAUCCAUUUUGGAGCAUUUUAAUAUUUUGGAAAUUUUUGCUGUUUCCAUGGUUACGGUGGCCAUUUUGGAAAUUCAACAUCUACGAAUGUUGCUCAUCAUUACUGUGAUGUUUCAUAAAAUUUGGAACAUUUUUAUAUUUUUGAAAUUUUUGGUGUUGUUUCCAUGGCAACAUAGUAGUUCCAAUGAUUGCUAAAAUCCUCCAAAACUAGUAUAUAGUGGGCACCAACAUUGUAUCAAAAUAUAAUGAUUCUAAGUUUAAGCAUGUCAAAUAAUUCACCAAAACAAAAACUGGAUUUUUUCACAUUUGUUCGUUUCCAUGGUAACGGCAGACAUCUUAAACCAUUCCAUGCUCCGUGCACAAAUUGAUAUGGGGGUCCUCACUAUAGUAGAGUUCAAUCAACAUUGGUCCAUUGGAUUUCGAGAAAUCGCCUGGACAAAAUGUGUUGCAAGAAAAAUAAUAAUAAGAAAAAAAAAAGAAACGUAGAAUAACAAUAUGUCACCCCAACUCCGUUGAGGGUGCCAUAAUUAAAUUAUACAGAAUAGGAAGCAGAUGUUUGAACCUAAUUAGUGUCGACAGGUUACAAGUCAUCAAGCUACAGUACAUUCAGGUGUGAAGUCAUUCAAUUCAUUCAACAUAUUGAAAGAGUCAAAGUAUCGGCUAACACAAACUCAUACAAAGUAAUCAUAUCUGAAAUCAUUCUGAUUAGGAGAAGCUAGAAAAAGUGUGACGGAAUUAUUUAUUAGACAAACAGAUUGACAAGUUGACUGCAAAAUAAGCCCCUGCUGAUAGAUAGAGGGUAUAAUUUAUUAUUGUCCUUGAAUUUUUUGCCACUGUAAACUUAUCAAACACUGAAAUUCUCCCUUAAUCCGCCAAGGGUGAAGAGGAGGGAAGUUGAUCGUAAACCUGGGCUAGCGAAGAUGUCCAGCCACAUGGACAACCAUGAUUCUUUAAAAAAAAAGAACACCAGGUAAACAAACAAAAAGGAUUCUUUCUCAGGAUGAAAUCAAACAGAAUUGUAAGAUGGACAGAACAUAUAUCUAACCUCUACUACACCAUACAGCAUAAAAGAAGUGAAUACACCUUAAUAAAUUUCUUUCUUUGACAUACUUCAUAAAAGUUCAUUCUAGAAAAAUGAAUAUGAGAUAUACAAAAUCCUAUAUUAUAUUAAAAACAUUUUUGCAAGUUUGGGCAUAUAUACAGUUUAGACAUGUUCAGUGGACAUUCAAGAUUUUACAUGUCGCCAGAAACUUUCUCUAGUUGUCACAAAUUCCCCUCACUAACCCAUAAGAUAAUUCUAUCAUAAUUAUCCUUUGUAAAAAUAAUUGACAGGUUUUAUUUCCUUGUACUAAUUGAUGGGGUUCGUGUUGCUUAGUCUUAAUUUUUCUAUGUUGUGUUCUGUGUACUAUUGUUUGUCUGUUUCUUUUCAGCAAUUGCGUUGUCAGUUUGUUUUCUAAUUACUAGUAUGCGUUGAAUGUCCCUCUUGUAUAUUUUGUUCCUAUUUUCCAUAGCCCAUAUGUCCUGGCGCGGCGAUUUUUAAUCAACAACCAAUCAACCAAUCAACCACAUACAUCGUAUAGCAUAUUCAAAUAUCAAAUUUAUUAAACAACCUUUAGUUUAAAGUAAGUCGAGUACAUGCCAUAUUUCCAUCACGAUUUUCAAAUAAUAAUUAUGUGACGAUAUCUAAAAAUCUAAACUUCCACAAUUAAUAUACAUGAGCGAUAAUAAUUAUGAACGAAUUUUAAGAUGGCUCUUACUGGUACAUUUUUACAGUCUGACCUUUGCAACUAAACAAUAGUAGUAUCUAUAAACGUUACAUGUUUACUAUACAUAGUCUUUUAAUAAGAUCAGGACAUUUAAAUCAGGCGCACAAUCCCAAAAUGACCUUUUUUUAAACGGUUAUUACUAUGAUAGAAUAUAAAAAUAAAACACUUGACAAAAAAAAAAAAAAAAAAAACAGUUACAGAAAGGUUAAUUAUCCAUGGACUUGGUAUUUUGAAUUUAUUGUAUAACUAAAUGCUAUUUCAAUGUAGGGAAAACGUAUUUCUAUUUAUAAGUACAGACAUAUCUUUAGCAGGAAAAUUACAAUGCGUGUAUAUCAAAGGGAUAAUUUCUUUAGUAAUUCUGUGACCAGUACAAUUUUCUGAUCGAGCCCUGUUAACGUACAGCAUAUUAUAGUAUGAAAGGUUAAAUAUAAAAUAUUACUUACAUAGUCUGUUUGUGACCUAAUACGAUAUUUACGGGGUCAGUAACUCCCUCAUAGGGUGAGAGCGAAGGUCGAACCUAUAUGGAAUUUACUAACCCCGCAUGUAUCGUAUAAGGUCACUAGCACACUAUGUAACGAACCUAUCUUACCGACUAUCUUUAUCUGUUGAAUUUAGACUAGAGUUGUCUCAUUUGCAAUCAUACCACAUCUUCUUAUGUAUAUAUCAAAGUGUUUAAGUGAUCAUUUUUAGGAAACUACUUACAUUGGUCUGUAUAAAAAAAAAAUGUCAAAAAUGUCAAUUUAAUAUCAUCAACCUUGAUAUAACAAUAUGAAACAGAACUUCCAAUUCAAUAACCAAAUAGUGCCAAAGUCGUGACCACUACUAACCGUGUAUUGAAAUAAGUCCCGCCUCCCUACUAACCUAAUAUGGUAUAUACACGAUCUCCACGCGGACUCUUUUAACCAAUCAUAUUCCUAGAAAUGUAUAGGAGGUAAGAUAAGUUUUAUGAACAAUUCAUAAAAUUGAGAAUGGAAAUGGGGAAUGUGUCAAAGAUUCGGAUGUAAAGAAUGGUGUUGUAGACUUUAAAGACUAAUUCGAGGUGUGGUGGCCCUUUUGGUAAUUUUACUCAUUUACAAUCGAUAUAAGUGAUUUUGUUAUAAUUAACUCGCCAUGAAAGGCUUUAUUGAAUUUUUAGUUAAAUAAGGGUUUCCUGUAAGCAUAUCAUUUGCAUAUUUAAAAAGAGGAGAUGUUACCAUGUGAUCUGUAUGGCAACGUAAUAUAUAAACCAAUAAUAAUGUACAUCUAUAGUGUGUGAUAACAUUGUGUGAGGGAAUACGACGUUUGAUGUACCACUGUUUACUCCAGUGCAAUUUAUGACAAUACCACUGCAUCAUUCAGAAUUAUUUUUUUUGCAGUGUUUUAAGAAAUAUUUUUUUGUUGUCGCGUAUUAUUUGUGAAACAUUCAAUGUUUAUAAAAAGUCGAAUGUUUUUUAUAACAAUUGAUAAUGAUUUUGAAAAACUAAGAAAACCUACUAUUUUCCAAUACAAAUAACGAUUUAAUCUUGUUUUAAUCUUUUUGCAAAAUAAUGAAACUUAAAUAAUUUGUUACAUUUGAUUAUUGGUUUUACCAUUGUUGUAAGGGAUAAUCCCCAUGAUGGUUUAUAUAAAGCCAUUAUUAGGCAAUCUUAAACAAUUUGUCCUUGACCCAAGGGUUUUUAGACAUUGGACAAUGACCUUGAAAACACAAGGUCAAAGGUCAAGGUCAUUACAAAGGGACAAAUUAUUGGUUUUAGCACUACUUGAAUUUUUAUGUUUUGAAUGCCAACAAAGACCAACCAUUCAAUCAAUUCAAUCAAUCAAUUUCAUAAGAAGUGCAAUGUUUCCGUUCAUGUGUUAAACCAAGAUUUAUUUGACUUUUUCAGUUUGAACCCCAUUGUUUUUUAUAACCAACCAAUAAAGACAAAACAAAUCAAAAACAAUAAUUCAUUGCAAUAAUCACAAUCAAUUUUAUUUCAGAAAUAUUUAAGAAAUAUGAAGGAAAAUUAUUCAAGAAAGAAUUGAAUUAUAUUGUUCUUACAUUUACUGAAAAAAUACCCAUUUUUGAAACUACAAGUCCAUCGAUUCAAUAUUUGCAUGUCCACUACAUGACUAAAAGUUAUAAAACAACGUGGUGCAGGUAAAAAUUAGGAAAAGUAAUGGCAAUGCCGUUUAAAAAUCGCUUGCUAGGUCCGUAAAUUGCAGUGAAAUCCUACAAUUAAAAUGUCCGCUGCUAAUUGAAAUAUCGUUUACAAACAGGUGCAAACAUUAUCAGAAAAUAAUCCUUAAUGUUUUAAAGUUACAAUCAUUGAAUCAAAUCAUACGCUGGUGUCUUGAUAAAAAAGUCAAUUUCGUCUACAAUGCAAAAGAAAUACUUGUUAAGCAUUCCGGCACUAUAGUAACGUCCACUAUAAAUUACUAAAAAGUUUUCGUUAUAUAAACUUGAAUUUGGUGUUUAAUUAAAAAGGAAUAAAAAUACUAAAAAGUUUUCGUUAUUAUAAACCCGUGUCACGUGAUGUCUCCUCAAUCUGGCGCGAGAGUCGCGCGCUGGACCUACCUGAAAUAAGAUAAAAACUUUCCAAACUAAACAUGAAACUUCUCCGGUAACAUAAUAAUAUAGACCCUUUACAAAAACAAACAAACAAACAAACAAACAAACAAACAAACAAACAAACAAAACAAAACAAACAAACGAACAAACAAACAAACAAACAAACAAACACCGCCCCCCCCAAUCAAUCAUUUUUCAAAGGGGGAAAGACCGUCUACAAUUGCUUUUUGAAAGCAAUUGAUUUAUAUUUCAUAUUUAUUUUUAUAAUCAUGUCUUAAACGAAGUCUUGUGGAUAGAGGGGAUGUGUCUUUAUACAAAUAAAGUACCAAAUGCCAAUGUAAAUUUUUUUUUUUCAAAUUCGAUAGGAUAGAUGCGUGUCUGAGCCACCAAACUUUGAAUUAUUUUGAGAGGAAAUUAUCUAUAUAACGGAACAUGAUGUCAAAUGAUAAUGAGAGCUUCUUUUCAUUCUUCCUUAAAAGCUUCUGUUUAAAGUAACAAGUUAAUAAAACAAUAAGGGAGCACAGUUGGUUCCCAUUGGAAUGACAAAUACUGUUGAAAAACACGCACUCCAAACGUUACAAAUAUGGCAAUAAUAAUGCUAUCAAGAAAACAUCAAACUUCUCGAUUAUUUCAGCUUCAGAGAAUUUGUUGUUUGAAUCAGAGAUAUUUUUUUAAAGAGGAAGAUUUAUCAUUUACUAAGACACAUUACUUGUAUCUACGUUGUCCAUGAAACAAAAGGGGAAUAUUGUUUUCAUAGAAGUCUUUUAGUUUGAAAAGCGAAUAUUUGUGUAAAGGGUAAAAAGUUAUUAUUUUUUAUACUAUUGCACGACAUAGAAGGAAACAUAGAUUGUAUGUACUCUUAACAGAUUUUAACUGUUCAUUUACUGACUUGUACCUUAACAAACUAUUCAAAUCAAUACAUCAUACAAAACUUUAUAUACUGCUUGAUGUUUAAUAUGAUUAGGUUUUGUCGCUGCGUUUUUUCCUGUAUAAACCUCUAAUUAGCAAUCCCUUAGCGUUUUUUUGUUGUCUAGCCAUGUACAAUGGAAUAUAAUACCCAUAGUUACUAUGUACGGGUAUAGAGUGAUAAUCAUUGAUUAUAAAUGAAUAGGAAUAAUAUCAUUAAGACUGUGCGUUACAAGUCAAAUCAUAUCAAGUGAAACCUGAUUAAACCGAACCCCGAAUAAACCGGAAACCUUUCUAAUCCAAACUUGUUCUGAAGACCAAUCAUAUCACAUUUUAUGCAUUGUGAACCUGAUGAAACCGAAUACCUGCCAAAACCGAACAAAAUCUCAAGUCCUGAAAGGGUUCGGUUUAGUCAGGCUUUACUGUAGUAGAAUAUACGAGGGUCUAGAUUGGGGGUCAUUUAUUCUUAAAUUUUUUUAACAUUGUUUUCUUCUACUUUUUUAAUGUUUUUUCCCCGUUAUUCUUUAUUCUAUAUAUUUUAUUCUUUAUUUUUCGCAUUGGUUCCUCUUUAUUCUGUACCUUUUACUUAUUAUCUUUAUUCUGUAAAUCUCGUCCAGAUUAUAUCACAUAUAUUCAAAAUUUAUUGUUACCGUUUAUGGAGGUAUUACUUUCAAUUAUAUGAGUAUGUUAUGAAAUUCUUGCGAUGACUGAUUGAAAUGCAUUCUUUAUGCAGUUUCAGAUAAGAAAAUGCUUAAUCGGAUGAUAUAAAAGAGAAAAUAGGAAUAAUCCUACAUUUCCUGGAGGUAUUAGGGGAGGGGGGAGUUCUCACAAAACAUGUUUAACCCUACUGCAUUUUUGUGCCUGUUCCAAAUCUUGAGACUUUGACCUUUGUCUUAUAUGUUUUGUUUUUGUUUAAAUUUUAGUUCAUAUAUGUUAUAAAUUUACACCCCGCAAAGAAAACCCCGUUAUACGGAAAUAGGUCAACGAUUAACACAAAUAUAGAACCUGUCAUGUAAUUCCUGGAGUAACAAAAUAGGUUCGAGAAAAGUAGUAACAUCUUUCUACAACUGCGGAGUACCUUCUCACUGUAAGAUAUAUCAGUUAUUGUCGGAAAUUUUAAGUACUUCAUCCUUUCAGUUGAAAUGGCUUUUUGGAAAAGAUAAAAAAAGUGUUAUGACAGUACUAAGCUCUCUGCAUGUUAAAGAGCACCUGCAACACAUAUGUGAAUCCACAGCUUCAAUGUUGCAAGAGCCUUGUCAAACAUGCUCAUAUUUUUUCUAGAACCAGUUCACAUUGCCGUCUUUCAAAUCAGUCACCAAACUUUUGAAUACCGACUUAUCGGGUUCGUUUUGAGCAUAUAUAAUGGUUUGCCAAUUUAGCGCUGAGCCUAGAACAAUGUAUGAAAGAAUGCAUCAAUAAAUGCAAGACCUUCUACAAAUAUUACACGUGUAAUUCUCAGGAUUACAUGAUACUGAGAUAUAAUAAGUGUUACAUGAAUUGUAAUAGCACAAUACAUCGAAAAUUUUAAUAAUGUUAGCGUAUUAGCUACCACACAAGUAUAAGAGGGGGACUCUAUCGAAUGUAUUAUUCGGACUCUGAGCCAAUCCGUUUGUUUACUACAUGUAGUAAUCUAUCUGCUUCUAGAGGAGAAACUCAGUUUUAAGUCAUUUUGUUUUUCACAGUUGGGGAUCUGACUAACGAUAUCCGGCACUCGAAGAUAGCGCGGCACAAAGAGACUACCAAUUCUUUGUUUCAUAUAGUCCUGGUUAAUAGGAAUAACACAUAUUUUGAAUUACAUGCAAUGAAUUUCAAUAACAUGAUUUAUAACAAUAGUGGACUAUAAACUAUUUUUCGCUUCGUCGGGAGAGGUUUUAUUUUCUACAUAAGAAAAUGCCUGUACCCAGUCACGAAUAUGACACUUGUUAUCCAUUCGUUUGAUGUGUUUGAGCUUUUGAUUUUGCCAUUCAAUUAGGGACUGGAUUUUACUCGGAGUCCAGUAUAUUUGUGAUAUUACUUUUUUAUAUGAUUUUUAUUUACCUAACUGAGAAGUGCAACUGUACAACUAGAAAAAUGAAAAGAUAUUGUAGUUGAUAAAACUGGAUUCCCAGCUCCUACAUUAUAUGGUGUGAUGUCUACCGGCAAUAAACUUUACAAACAAAUUCCCAGAGUUUUCAAUGUUAUAAUUGGUUGUUACUACAUAAUACAAAUAAUGUAAUUGAGCAAUCCGUUCUAGCUAUUAUUCACAAUUUAUAUAGAAUUUUAUUUCGAAUGAUCACCCUACAUAGUAGAAAGUCAAUACUGCAUUUCCUUUUAAAAAUCAUUAGUUACUUUGUCUUCAUAAAGGAUAUACACGUUUUUCCAUCCAGAAAUGCAUCUUUUGUUAGACAUCACCUGAUAAGAAAUGGACGCCUUUCAAUUUUUCCUUUAAAAUAGGAGACAUUAAAACAUGAUGAUAUAUCUACAUGACGGUGGGGUAUGGUUACUCUUUAGUUUCAAAAACAAAAACGUUUUUUAAACGUGGUAUAUGUUUUAAGAGACCUCGUUUAAUUAUCUCAUGUAACAUUAGUUUUAUUAUGCAUACCAUUUUCACUUUAACUUUUUUUAGCAAAGAAUGCCAAUGCUUAUUUUUAAUAGACCUUUUUCGAAUUACCGACUUUUGACUCCGGACUUUGUAAUUGCAUGAGAUGGCCUGAGAUCGAGGCACGGUAGUAUUUACACUCUGGUUUAGGUUGACCUCUUGUGUACCAUACUUGCGUUUGUGUAUCACAAGAGUUGGUUUCACAAGAUUGAUCUUAAGUCGUGAACAAUUCAUCAUACAUUUCAAUUUUAUUUCUGAAUACCAUAAUGAGAGUACUUCAGUUAACUCUGUACAUGUAUGAAGGUUCUUAAUUGUGAAGUGUUAGAAAGAGAUGAAUAUUCAAAAAAUGGGCAUCAUUAUCUCUAUGACCCAGGAAAUACGACCGUGCCAUCUGAUAGGACACUACUCGGUAAAGUAAGAGGAACUUAAAGAAGUCAAACAAGCUAAAUAUCAGGGCAAUUUAGGGAAAAAUAACUGUUUAAUGUUUAAAACUAAAGAAAAAACAACACGAACCUCACCAAAAAACUAGGGGUGAUCUCAGGUGCUCCGGAAGGGUAAGCAAAUCCUUCUCCCCAUGUGGCACCCGUCGUGUUGCUUAUGUGAUAACAAAUCCGGUAAAUAGUCCAAUUCGGUAGGUCACAUUCAUGAAAGAGAAGGGGAUUGUAGGUACGACGUAAGGAAAAUAUCCGAUAUCAUUUGUGAAACGGUUAUUCCAUAACGGUCAACCAACUCUUGACGGCGUCCGUAAAAUUUACGAAGGGAUGAUUCCAAUUUCACCAUUUGGAACUCUUGGUUUAAUAACUUCCUUUUGAGCAGCAACCCUUUAUCAAGAAAAUCAUGAUAGUAAAUGCAAGCACGGGAAUAUCGUAUCAAUUGGGAGAUAUAUACCCCGUAUGCAGGUGCUGCUGGAAUGUUGCUACUUAGAAAUGGAAAGUUCACAAUUUGAAAGCUGAAAUCAUCUCUUUUGUCGUAAAGUUUUUUUUUAACUGACCCUCAUUGUCAAUUUCUAGAUGUAAGUCAAGAUAUGAGGCCGACUUAACUGUAUCUGAAAAAUAUUGAAAAAAAUAAAAAAAACAAAAACAAAUGUAGGUAACCUGGCUGACAACUAUAUAAUCCGGAGUCAAAAGUAUAUAAAAAUGUAUGAAAAUAUUCUCUUUCAUUGAAUUGUUUCCAAGUGAGAACUACGAAGAAAACACAGGAGACAUUCCAUGUCAAAUGAACAGUGUAAUUGAUUGUAAUAAAAUGUUGAAGAGAUUUUAAAUAUAGUUAAUUAUACCAAAUUUCUAUGUUAUGAAAUAAUUUUAGACUGUUUCAUACUCAAUUAGAUUGCAGGUAUUUUAGUAAUUGUUGAGAACUAUUUGAGAAAAAACUGAUGAAGUUCAUUGAAAAAGUGUAAAGUGGAUAUCAAAAGAAAUAAAAACGCAGGACGAUAAAAAACCUCUUUUUGUCAUCUCGAAACAAAUGUAGGCAUACAUUGUACAUGCCUUCAAAAUAUUAUUUUCACGACGAAUAGACGAUUGUAAUUUCCAUUGAUGCAGAAUGAACUAAAAAUAUAUAAAUUUUAACAUGAUUGAAUAAUUUUGUUCCAAUAUUUAUGUUUUAUUCACGUUACUGUAAAUUUUUCAAAGUAUCAUAACUUAAUAUUUAACCCCAUGAGGUAUCCAAUAUAUGAUUACACAGACCAUAGUCCGGUAUAUUUCAAAUAUUGAGGGAAAAUUGUAUAAAUUUAUACACUAAGAAAGUGCGAUAUCAUAUUUACAAUAUCUUCAAAGGAACUGCUAUAUAUUCAUUUAGUCAGUAGUGUUUUACUCAAAUUUCACCCACCAAAAUACUGUUAACUUUUUCAUUGCAUAAAGAAAUAAAAGUUUAAAUAUUUUAAAAGUGAAUCAUACCGAUAAUGAUACAAACAAUAAAUUUAUCUACGUUUCCAGGCUUCUAGAAUUCGAACAACUUGUAAUACCAGUAUAUAUUCCUAAUCAUAUAGAUCCAUAUAGGCCAUCCAACGUACUUGCACCUGUAUGAGGCUCAUAUUGAACACGUGCUGCCGUAAACCCAUAGUAUUAAAACAAUAAACACGUUCUUUCUUUUAUUUAAACACAUUGUAUAAAACAGUGAACACGUGCUUCCGUAAACGCAUAGUAUAAAACAGUGAACACGUGCUUCAUUAAACGCAUUUAGUAUUAAACAUGUGUUAAACAUUAAGAGAGCCUAUACAAAUAACUAUUCAAUUAAAGCAUAUUUUCAAAUCACAACAGACUGUUGGUAUCAUUUGAACUCCCCGUUUGGUUGAACAUUACCAAUGCAAUCACAUUUUUCGUGAGGGUUUUACGAUUCUUGAUUGUUCAGAAUUUCGCUUCGAUAAUAAAACAAACAGUAUCUUGUACUUUUACAUUUUAUUUCAUUAGUGACUGUAAACAAUUACGAAUUUUCAUCACUAUACGCGACAUUCAUUUUUCUUAAUCUUAUUAUAAAAAUAACAUGUGUAAUCAUCUAUAUAACAGAAGUUUUAGUAUAGUAAAAAGUGUGACUUGGAUUGAGUGUUGUCUUAUUGGCAGUCGUAGAACAUCUUUUUUAUAUAUAUAUUAAAGAAUAAACGCAAUAUUGAAUAUAAGACUGCCAUUUUCAGUGUUUGGUACAGGUUGACAGUCACUAGGCACAACAGUUCAACAUAGAACCAUAUCCGGAAACCAGAGAACUCUUUUUGUCAGAAAACAUCAAAACAUCAAAACAUACUAUCCACACUGAUCUGUGUCCACACUUGUUUAGUAUAGUAAAUAUGUAGAAUAUUCAUUGACGUAUUUAAAUAUUGUUAUAUGUUAUGUAGCAAGAACAAGUACUAUUUUCUCUUAAUUCUUAUUUCAAAAAGUAUUUCCUCAUUCCACUUAAUUGUAAUUCCCCCAUGUAUAAUUCUAACACAAUACAGCCGGUAGCACUGAAAAUGACAUUUCAUUAAAUGCAUAUGCAACCAUUAAAUCAAUUUGAAGAUAAAUGCAUUCAACUAAAGUCAGGCAGCUCUAGAAUUUUUUGUUUGAAUAUAAUUCCUGGCAUUUGUAGUGCACUUUGAAAAACUUAACCGUAUCCUAAAGUUACAAAUUAAAAAAAUAUUGAGUCGAGUUAUUCGACUUUGCGGACAUGAGGAUAAACAUGAGAGAGUUUCCAUGUGGGUUGGGAUAUGAGGAUAAACAUGAGAGAGUUUCCAUGUGGGUUGGGACAUGAGGAUAAACAUGAGAGAGUUUCCAUGUGGGUUGGGAUAUGAGGAUAAACAUGAGAGAGUUUCCAUGUGGGUUGGGACAUGAGGAUAAACAUGAGAGAGUUUCCAUGUGGGUUGGGACAUGAGGAUAAACAUGAGAGAGUUUCCAUGUGGGUUGGGACAUGAGGAUAAACAUGAGAGAGUUUCCAUGUGGGUUGGGACAUGAGGAUAAACAUGAGAGAGUUUCCAUGUGGGUUGGGACAUGAGGAUAAACAUGAGAGUUUCCAUGUGGGUUGGGUUCUUUUAUCUCAUUGUUUUCUGUACUUUCUAAAAAAAAAAUCCCGCUCAACAGUCAUUCUCAUGAAAUACAUAAAAUCAUACUUUAAUUAACUGUUUCCCAACUUGUUAUGCAUAUAAGAUAUGUGGUGCGAGUAUCAAUGAGACAAUCCUCCAUCCAAAUCAUAAUUUGUAAAAGUAAACCAUUAUAGGUCAAAGUAGGUCUUCAACACUGUGCACUGGAUCACAGCCUAAAUAGGAUUCUACACAUACCAAUACAGAUACAGACAGAUAGCCGAGGAGCGCAUAUGUACUUGUUGUGUGAAUUUUGAAUCUACACAUCGGUACUGUAAGUUAACAUAAGGAAAUCUGAUGUAGUGAACGACUUCAAAAAGAUCACGUGACAGUCUUUACACGCAGCAGUGUAGGAGUAAGUUAAGCUGUAAGUGCAGACAAUUUUAUUACAUGUCAUUAGAUAUCCUGAAGUAUAUGCAAAAUUGGCAAUACAAUGUCCAAAGAAAGAUUAUGUUAAUGCCUAUUUACACAUGAAACACAAUAUUUCUUUUGAUAGGAGAUUAUUUAAUCUUAUGAAUAAAUAAAGAACUUAUUACUUUGCUUCGGGGGCGGAUAAUGAUUUUUUGGAGGAAUAUUGGAAUAAUCAGGACGUAAGAAUUCAGAAUCAAAAAGCAGAAAUAUUAUAUGGUACCGCCGAUUCACAAUAUUAAUUAAUUUAGGAAUUGGCUAUGAAUAAAUCAAGGCUAUUACUUGAUUUGCCUUUUUUGCUUGUGUAAAUGAAUAAUAAAAAAGGUGUUUUAGUCACUACUUUAAUGCUCUGGUAUUGGGAACGAAACCACGAAAUAAUUACUACUGCAAAAAGAAAUUCCUGUUAAAUAUUAAACUGAAGUAUCAUAGCUAUUGUGCCAACAACACUAAUACUACUACUCUUCAGGAUGAUGAUAAUGAAAAAAAUAUAAUAAUAAAUAAAAAGAUAACAAUCUUGGAACAACGAAAACAAACGUUUUCUUUUUAGUAACAGUUAAGGUAUUAAAAAGUUGUUUUUCCGCCAAUACAAAUUGGGCAUCAUGGUAUAGCUAAGAGCGUCAGAACUAUCAUUAAACACCAACCAAAAACAACAGACUACCAGCACGGAAACUAAAGGGUUGCUGUAAGCUCUUACUUCAGAAGAAAACCCAACGAAAACAAUAACUAUUCCGAAAUAUUGGACCAAACUGUUGUACCGGUCUUUCUGCAUUUAGGAAUAGACAUAUUUACUACUCCGAAACAUUGCGCACCAUUAUCGGUAUUUCUAUAUAAUACAGAUUAAAUAUACAUGCAAACACUUAUCAUUGAGAAACAUUUGGGUCUCUUCGACUUUAAAGUUGUGAAUAUUCCCUUGAUAUCUUCUACUUCUUUUAUAAUUAAGGGAGCUAUGAUUUGAUUUUUGUGGACCAGGAUAAAAUUUGAAAAAGCAGGAUGAGACACUUUGCAAAUUAAAAAAGUCAUGAUAAACUAAUAAAAAAGGUAGGACCGAAUCGAAUGUAAAUAAAAAAGAAAUGACAGCAAUUACAAAAAAAAAAAAAAGACAAAAUAUACAGAACAAAAUUUUUCAUCCUAGCUCCCUCCUCCUAUGGAAAUCAAAUGGUAUCUCCCUAACUCGUCUUCAGUACUUUUUUGCUAUGAUAAUGAGUGGUGGUAUUGUAAUUCUCCUUCCUUUUUAUUUAUCUAUUUUACAAAGCCCUAUGAACAAUACUAUUACAUGGAAUCUCAUAACGACAUCAAUAUCUCACUUGAUGAUAUUGGGUUUUAAAAUUUCAUUGAGAUCUGCAUAUAAGGACGCUGUCAACUAUGGUCCCGAUAUAAUCACGUUACGUCACGUCACUUAACAUGCAAUAUUUGAAGAAUGCAAUUUUAAAUGAUAUCGUUUCAAUUAUAAGAUAAGCAGACGACACCCCCGCACGUGACAUUCGGUAAGGAAAAUUAAACGCUUUAAAUCAUGGUAUUUUUUUUUUAUUUUCAUAUUGAUUUUAAAAUUCAUUUGAUAUAUAACAUUACUAUCUAUAAUCAGACAUUCUUCAGAGGAAUAUAUAUUUAUAUAUAAUUGAUUAAAAAAUUAAAUUGGUAAAUCGAAAUUACGUUUGCAAGCCAAAGUUUACUUUUGUCUGGAAUAAUAAGAUUAAAAGAGGACAACAUCGACAAAUUUGAAUAAUUCCAAUUAUACAAAGAAUUGUUAGCAUUCAAUUUAACAAGCCGCCUACAAUAUUGGUUUGAAAUUAAUUUAAAAUGCAAAUCUGCUUAUGAUAACAUCUGUUUAAGCGCUCUUUGUCAUAGAACAAUUUACCGUAAGAUUUUACACUUUAAAAUUGUUUUUGAACCUAAAAACUCGAAAGAUAUAAAUUUGUCACUGAUUUAUGUAAGAAAAAUGACCAUGAGAUUAUUUAUCUUUUUAUUAACAAAUACCAACAUAAAAAAAUAUUAGGUCUUUUAUACGUGCAUAUGCGUCAAUAUCUUCCAUUUAGUUUGACAGGGAAAUUUUUUUUGCUCCAGUUAAGUUUGAGGAGAACAAAAAACAAUUAAUUUGGGAGCCCUCAAAACUGCCAAAAGAACUAUAAACUCGCAAAAGAAACCUUCCACAAUCAAAAUAAAGUAAAAACAUUUAAAAAGAAGAUUCGGUUUGACUACCAAUAAGACAACUCUCCACCAAACACCCGACAUAGAGGUUAACAACUAUAAGUCAUUAUACUGUCUUCAACAAUAAACAAAAAGAUAAAUACCCAUACCGCAUUGUAAGCUAAAAAAAAAAGGUAAUACACUUUUACCUAAAUUUAUAAAAAUUACAAGUUUUUAUCAUUUUUAUUACGGAAGCCGAUAAGGGCGAAUGGCCCUUAUCGACUUCUGUACUGUAUGGUACCUGAUAGAUACAAAACUAACUUCUAUAAAAUAUUAGAUUUAGAACUACGAAAGAUGAACAACUUUCGAUAGACUACGCCAAUGUCUUGUUUGAAAAUAUGAAUUCAUGAAUGAUGGAAAGAAUGGCAGAUUUUUUAAAUACAUUUUCUCUGUGUAUUUAGCUGAAGCCUUUCGAAGAAAGAAAAACUAUAAUAAGUCCACCAAAAUGUUUUUAUAUGCUAAAUUAGGGAACUCGUCAUAGAAGUGUAUGUGUUGAUGCUUGUUUCUUAUAUGUGUGAGCUAAGAAAUUUAAAGUCGUUUGUAGAUUUCAACGUAACUUAUCUAUAGUGCUUGAUAUAUUGCACACACAGCGCUUGUAUGUCACCUAUUUGUUAUCCUUAUUAUGUUAGGUUGCUUUCUAAACUACGUUUUACUAACCGAACUCCUUCGUCAUAAUUAUACACAUUGUGUUCAUGUUGCUUAAUGGGAAACUACUUGAAAACUGAAAAAUGUAUUUAUCAUGGUCGACCAUUUAUGUUUUAUUAUUUUUUUUUCUCUCUACAAACUUCCGGUGUAGACUGCAGAUGAACUAUUUGAGUAUAGUUAAAAUAAUUAUAGGUGGCACGGUAGUAUUUCCUGGUCCAUAAGGGAUAAUGAUAGCCUUUUUAGAAUUUUAACCACUUUCUAACACUGCAAAAAUUUCUACAUUCAUAGUUAACUGAAGUACUUUCAUUUUACUAUUCAGAAAUGAAUUUGAAUAUGUAUCAUGACAGUUACUUUUUUUUUGCUAUUUUUAAAAACCUAAGGCCACUAGUACUUUUAGGUCUUUUAUGGUGUAGUGAAUACAAAAUUAAAAAAAUUUCUCAAAAAUUCAAUUCUGUAUGUAAAAUUAUUUCAUUUUUUUCUACACCUGAUUCAUCCCUCAGUUUGGGAAAGUAUGCUCAGUUGAUACUGUAUUUUUUGUUCAAUCACACUGUUUAGAUACAUUUACCUAAGUAGGGUACACAAAAGAGCAACCUAAAUUUUGGAAUGCAAAUACUACCGUGCCACCUAUACUGCACUCGUUCUAUUUGUGCAGUCAGAAUGCAUUGACCGUAUAUUUCUAUGUCAAAUACAGUCACUGACAUGAUAUCACUUUCCCAUGAAUAUUUAAAUAGAAAUUUCCGAAAUUAUAAUUAAUUAUUUUGUUAAAAAACAGAUUUAACUUGUUCAUAUUUUGGUCUGCAAACUAUAAAUUAUUAUGUAUUAUGCUUAUUGUUGAUAUUUUAGUUCAUUCUUAAACAAAUUCGUUCCCCAUCGAUUGCGAAUUUCAACAGGUAAUGUACAUUUCAUCGUGUUGUAUAUUUCUCGGCCUGCAUGAUAUGAGACCUUUUUAUAAAAGGGUGAAAUUCCCAAUAUUAAAUCAAAAUGAUAACAUUAACACAUUAAACAACAAUCGAAAAUGUUUUUUUUUAGAUUGCAGUAUAAAGACAAUAAUAGUGCAUUGACUUGACAUAUCAACGAUAUAAGGAUUCGGCCCGAAACGGGGAAAUAGCUCGACAGAGCCUCGCAUUUCCCCGUUUCUAAGCCUCACCCUUAUAUCGUUGAUACUAGUGACGCAACGUUAGAUAUUGCUACUACCACGAAAAAAUAGCGUUAAGUAAAUAUUUGACGGGAAAAUUUUCAUAAAAAUGCUGAAAUAAAUAUUUCAAAUUAUACACGGAAAUAAAGAUUGAUUCUUAAAUUUUUACAGUAUGAUAGAGAAAGAAUAAAAAUAUAAUAUUCAUGGCCUUAGGAAGACACAGAUUACCCGAAAAACGUUUACUUAGCGUUGUCCCAUGUAACAAACUCGAAACAUAAAACUCGAACAAUUCGCGAAAUCUUCAUGCAACUCUUCGAAAGUUUACAUGAACAUUCUAUUACGUGAUCUAUUUCAGUAUUGGUUAACAUGGCUGUCUCCAUUUAAAAUUUGCAUACAUAUUUUCAAAAGAAUAUGAUGUACGGAAAUGUCCCAUCGGAAAUUUAAUUUGGAAACUUGAAACAUUUCAGUUCAAAAAUAAAAUUUUGACAGAUAAUUCAUUAAAUUGAUCGUUUUGUACUAAGUGUUAGCUCUCAAAAUUCGAAUUGAAAAAUAAAUUGAGCUACUUUUGCAAUUCAAAACAAUAGAUUUGCAAGGUCUUGCGGAAAUGUCCGAGCUAAACUUUCAUGCCUUCACAAAACUUUUACGGCAAAAAAAAAAAAAAAACCCACAGAUUGAUUUCGUGAAGAUUAUUUUUCGGCUUUGAUAACUAUACCAAUAAAAAGUACUUUUAAAGUUGAAGUUGGUACACCAAACAUCAUUAAUAUUACAGGGUUAUCUAUAAAAAAUACGAAUUAAUGAAAAUGUCUUGCAAGAUUGUCCGUUAUCAUAAUUUGACGUCGCCAAAAGCGUAAUAUGCUAGAGACGGCAUGAACUGCAUUCGCGUGUUCCUUCCUCCCCUAAAUAUAAAUGUCCUGCUUUCAACAAAACGAAAUGACGCACACAUUACAAAAAUACACAUCUAUAAGACGAUCAAAAAGUAAGAAAACUUUAGUAUCAUAAGUAAAAGCUAUUGUAUGUCACUGCUUGAAUAAAAUCAUACUCGGGUUGAGUAUAUAAUGCAGCAAUACUCCUCCAAAACACAUAAUUACUAUCAGUAAAAUUGAAUAUCCUAUGUUAAUUGUAAAAUCAUAUUGGAUUGGAUUCUUACGGCAUUUAUACUUGUGUGUUAUACUUUGCAUUUACCCAAAAAGGAAAGCAGGAAGAAUUAGAUAAAGCGCGUUUCCAAUUUAAGGUGGCACCUAACACUACAGGGAGAUAACUCUGUAAAGUCAGCUAAACGUUUUAACUACGUUGUGUUGUAAAGGGAAUAUUAAGCUUCUCGGUGAUCAAAAUUGGUGUUUGUCAAACUGCUAUAUAACCAGUGUAAUUUUUCUGAUAAAAUGGUUGGUUCAAAACUUUUGAAAUUUUUACAUUUUUGUUAAAGAGUCAAAGUAAAUAUUUUGUCAAAAUUUUAUCAAAAUUAAACGAGCCAAAUUAAUGUUAUUAAUAGUGUUGGGUACCACCUUAACGUCAUUUUUCUGUUAUACUAAAUGGUAGCAAUAUCUGACGUUGCGUCAAGUCAAGUCAAUGCACUAUUAUUGUCUAUCUAUCCACUGAAUACGUAUUUUGUCCAAUUAUUUAAAGUUUUUUGGAACCCGGAAAUUUGCAGUUUUAUGGAAACAAUGUAUUAGUGUUACUUCCUUUUAACUGCAUCGAUAUGCACCACAAGACCAAAGAAUAUUAGAUAAAUUAGUCCCUAUAUAUGUGGAAGUUUGUAACGACCUUAACUGGCCAUACAGCCCCUGCACAUUCAGUCAUUUUAGUCGCUUGCCAAUUUUCGGUACUAAAUAAAUCAGUCUAUUUAAGUCGCUGGACAAGACCGAUAUUUUUAUAGUACCGAAGAUUGGCAAGUAGAAAAUCAUACCAAAUUCCUGUGUAACUUCGUUCCUGGCAUUAACUAUCGACCUUACUCUAAAUAUGUCUCUGGGACAAGAUAAACAUGUCAAAGCGUUAAAUUUAAAGUGCAUGAUAAUAUUGAUACAAUUAUUUCCACGAUUAAUCGAUUUCAUGGAAAUAAGUUAGACGUGCUAGAUGACUAAAGUAAAAAUAAACCCAAUCAACUGUUUUAAGUUUCAAACCAGUCCAAUUUGAAAGAAUAUGAAGUUAGUUUUAGUAGGUGUAUUGAAAAGGGUCGCUUUUUCAACUUCCGGUAUAUUAUCGUCGCCAUAGCUAAUGAUGUUGCAAUUAUCAUUUCAUGUUUCCAUUGAGUUAUUGUAGUUUUUGUUGGAACAAAGCAAGUUUGUAACAUUGUGAAGAGACCAUUAUGAAGAAAAGGUCAUUUAAAAUACAAUUAUCUUUUCAUGUGUGAUGCAUGACUGAGCACACACUGACGUUACAGGAAGAUGAUGAUGGCGCAUUACUUAACCAUUCAUCACGGUUCACUGAACAUUCGAUUGAUUGUUUCAAAAUGAAAUAUUAAUAGGAAUAUAUAGAUUGUGGUCAUUUUAGGUAAUACUUGAUUUUAUGUCGACAAAUAAAACAAGCUAAGCUAACAAAAGAUCAGAUAGAAGAAAUUGAAUUAUUUGUAAAUAUAAGUGUCGAACUCGUUGAAAGUUUAACUCCUUAGCAGCUAUUCUAUCGUUUUCGGUUUAAGUUUUAUGUUUUAGUUAAUGAUCUUAAGUGUGACAUUACAAUAAAUACGCCCGUGAAGCAAAAACAAGCACCAUCCUCUCUGAGGGUCGCGAAUUAUGUAGGAAUGUGAAAAGAAAAUUAAUCAUACAAUAAUAAUAAAACCAAACUUAUGCAUGCAAUUUUAGUAUCAUUUGUUAUUAUAUGUAUUAUCUACUCAGACAUACAUGUAGGAGCUCACUUUUAGACAUAUCCGAGCGUACUUUUUUACUCUCCCCAUAAAAUAAAAAUGUUUUUGGUAAAAGUGACAUGUUGAUUUCGUCAUCAGCUAAAGCAGCUUUGUGUCGAGGAUUACAUAAAUAUAUUGCCGACAUUAUAUAAACAUUUGUGUUAUCGAGUUGUUCUCACUUCUAGGUGCACGCUGUAGAACCAUACCUUUUAGAUUAAGAAAUAACGCUAUUCCAUGAUCAGGAUUACGCAUGCAAUGUGUUUUUUCCGGCGGGAGUGGUUUUGAACAGCAAACACGAAUCGUGGUCAAAUAUGUCAACUGCGAAUCGUAAUCAUUGUAUAUAUGUAUAGGUUACAAGAGCGCAAUUAUUUGUUUACAUUUUACCGGCAAGUUUUUACCCCAAGAUGGUACUCAGAAUAGAAUCCUAUACGGCUUGUAAUUGGUGGAUGCAAGAUUGGAAUUACAUUUAAUCGAAAGCUUAUCCAAUUAGGUUUAAAAAUUUGCCGAAAAUAAUAUUCACAUUUUACGAAGUAUAGAACAUAUCUUCCAUUUCUGCACGUCGGAGCCAUUAAAAAUAUGCCUUUUUCAUUAAGCGAAAAAAGGAGACGAUCUUUUUCAACUGCAUUUCAAGUCAAUUUGAGCCGCAUGACCCUAUAUAUUUUUUUGGUUGUAAUGCAACACUGGCAUUUCUAGUAACAGGAACUGCUACCCGUUUUCCCUAGUUUGUGUAGUCUUCGAGAAAAAAAAUACGGAACACUAGUGGUACCCUAUGGAAAAUGAAUUACGAAUAAUUGCGCUCUUGUAACCUAUUAGUAACAUCAUGUGCAUCAUGUAAGAGUUUAAAGUUUUUUUAUGUUAAUGAAAUAUGCCAAUUUGAUAAAAUUAGUUUUUCUGCAGUAGUCAAUAUACGCAUGUGCAAACACAUUUUAUUGGAUUUCGAGCAUGGGUUUGUUUACAAAGAUAAAGAAGCAAGUCAUAUUAUAAUGAUAGACUAACACGUACAUUAUUUAUAACAUAUGCAUACCUUAUAAUGAUUUACCAGUCUGCACCGAAAAAUAGUCAUCUUUAAACAAUGCAUUCACUAAUUAUUGAAGCCAUACAUUUACUACUGGUUUAAAAAUCAGGUAGAUUAAAAUAAGCAAUUGCGAAAAUGGGUUACUUGUUACAGAACGUACCCAAGUAAGAUGGCUGUUUCUUGGUUGUUCCGUUGGUUUUUGUAAUCGAACGUUUUGUUUUGUAAGCUUAACGGACUUCCCCCUAUUUCAAUUUAUCUUACACUAUUUGUUAUUUUUUUUAUAAAGGUGUGUAUGGAAACAAUUUUUUUAAUAGCUUAUUUAAAAAUGAAUUUUAAUUUCCAACAUUUUUUUCAGAAUGUAACAAGUAUGAAGGUUCAGAAGAUUUAAUUGCAUGUCCAACACCAGAUGCCUAUCAAAAAUUUUAUUGCAUAGAAGACCGCCAUCUCUGUGAUCAACAACUUAAUUGCCCCAAUGGGGAAGAUGAAAAUUUAAUUGGCUGUAUGUUUUUUAAAUGGGUAUGUACAUUUAUAAAAAUUGUUUCUUUUGUUCGAUUAAUGUUGAAUGUCAAUCUUAACAAACUAUUCUAUUUGACCAUGAAAAUUCUUGAAGAAAACAAAACUUUCACUACAAAUACUGAUUUCAUAAAUGUGUUUUCGUCAUGUUUGUCUUUAUAUAUAUAUAUAAGAAAAAGAAGAUGUGGUAUGAUUGCCAAUGAGACAACUCUCCACAACAGACCAACAUGACACAGAAAUUAACAACUAAUAGGUCAGUUUGACAUACUUAACGGUUCAAGAUAUUCAACUGACAUAGCAACCGCAACUGAUUGCCACUUUAGAAUACUGAAUCAAAAUAGAUCAAUCCAGUCUUGAAAAAGAAUUUAUUUUAAUUCCACUACUAGUAUGGCCGGAAGGACAAUCACAAAACGCAAUACAUCUAGAAAAAUAUUCAGCAUGAAAAAAAUAACUGUACAAAAAAUGAGAAAUAUCUGUGAAACUACAUGUACGAAAAUCAAAUGUUAACUCUUGAAGUAUUUGUUCGGAUGAAGCGUAUUUAUUUAAAAGGUAUCUAGGUAUCAUAUGAAUUUUUAACCUUUCAAAUAGUAACAUCAUUCAGUCAUCGAAGUACGAUGAGAAUGGUAAUGUGGACAGUAAAUGGAAACUUGACUUAUUUGUGUAUUUAUUUAGCAUUAGUUUAUAUACAAAUGUAUAUGCUUUCCGAGUGAACCUUAAUGUAUAAACGAGCAUGCAAUCUAUCUCACUUUUCCAUGUGCAUGUCGUUAGUAGACUUAAAUAAAGAGACAUGAGCUUUUGCCAAUCACUCAAACGUUUGUGUAAAUCAUUUCCAUGAAUAUAUUCUGAUAUUCUAAGUACCACAUAUUAUCCCCGUUCUAUUUGACUUAAAUGCUCAAAAAAGCAUUGACGAAACGGACUAUUACAACGCUAACACAUUACAGAGUCAUUACAGAUAAAAGAAUAAACCCCCUUUACUUAGAUCUACUCAACACAUCAAUGAUAGGAAGAAUAACAUUACUUUAAGUUGUUCUACUUAACACAUCACCUGAUCAAAAAAGGAACUUCCCUUUUGUCUAGGACUAAUCAGCACAUCACGGAUAAAAAUAGUAAUAUACCUUUGCCAUAACCACUUAUACAUAAGAAAAAAAAAACAAAACAGAACUAUUUCAAUACAUGCACACUUGAUCUUUUGCAUUGUCAUUGAAAUUAGAGUUGUAAAUAUUUACAUAGAUGAACAUAUAUCGGUUAUUCAUUUAUGUAUUUUUUCCCUUUUAGGAAUAACAUUGUAUUUGUUAAUUUUGUAGGCAAAUUCGUUCUUUAGGAAGAUAGAGGAAGCUUUAAUAAAUAAAGAUAGAAGAUUAUGACAGCGAUAAUUUGCCACAGACUUGAAUACACACAAUGUAUGAACACAUUCUUAUGGCAGACCAAAAUUGUAUGACCUGAUUUCAGAAACUUUUGGAUGAUUUAUAUGUGUGAUAAAUUGAAACUGGAAAAUAAUAACAAAAUAAGUCGAUAGAUAAAAAAAAAAUAUAUGCUUCUUAACAAAUAUGGAAAACUAUGAGCACAGCC